rnacentral:rRNA from 1 species
AGGGCGUAUGGUGGAUGCCUUGGCAGACAGUACCGAUGAAGGACGUUUGAGGCUGCGAUAUGCCUCGGGGAGCCGCCAACAGGGCUUUGAUCCGAGGAUUUCCGAAUGGGGGAACCCACCGACCGUCAUGGGUCGGUACCGGCUUCGGCCGGGGGGUACGCAGGGAAGUGAAACAUCUCAGUACCUGCAGGAAAGGAUAUUCCGUGAGUAGUGGCGAGCGAAAGCGGAUGAUGGCCAAACCUUGCGCGUGUGAUACCCGUCGGGGGUUGCGCGCGGGGUGUUGCGGGAUCGCGUGCGCCGGCUCCGACGGGCCGGCCGGCAGUUGCAGAAAACCAUGUGUCAGGGGAACCGGGUUGAAUACCGGGCCGCAGAGGGUGAGGGCCCCGUACCUGAACGCGCAUGGUCUGCCGAUCGCGUCUCCCAAGUAGCACGGGUCCCGUGGAACCCCGUGCGAAUCCGCCCAGACCGUUGGGUAAGCCUGAAUAUUCCUGUCUGACCGAUAGCGAACGAGUACCGUGAGGGAAAGGUGAAAAGCACCCCGGGAGGGGAGUGAAAGAGUUCCUGAAACCGUGCGCCUACAAUCCGUCGGAGCCUCCUUGUGGGGUGACGGCGUGCCUAUCGAAAAAUGAGUCUGCGAGUCAGUGGUGCGUGGCGAGGCUAACCCGUCGUGGGGGAGCCGUAGCGAAGGCGAGUCUCAAAAGGCGUUUUGAGUCGCGUGCCCUGGACCCGAAGCGGGAUGAUCUAGCCCUGGGCAGGUUGAAGCGCGGGUAAGACCGCGUGGAGGACCGAACCCACCUGGGUUGAAAACCGGGGGGAUGACCUGGGGCUAGGGGUGAAAGGCCAAUCAAAUUCCGUGAUAGCUGGUUCUCUCCGAAAUGCAUUUAGGUGCAGCGUCGGUUGAUUGCAUCGCGGGGGUAGAGCUACUGGAUGCUUGCGGGCCCGUAUGGGGUACCAACAGCAGCCAAACUCCGAAUACCGUUGAUGUGUAUUCCGGCAGUGAGUCGGCGGGGGAUAAGCUCCGUCGUCGAGAGGGAGACAGCCCAGAUCGUCGUCUAAGGUCCCGAAGCGUGUGCUAAGUGGGAAAGGAUGUGGAGUCGCAUAGACAGCCAGGAGGUUGGCUCAGAAGCAGCCAUCCUUGAAAGAGUGCGUAACAGCUCACUGGUCUAGUGGUUCCGCGCCGACAAUGUAGCGGGGCUCAAGCACACCACCGAAGACGCGGCAGUAUUUUGUACUGGGUAGGAGAGCGUCCCAUGAGGGGCGAAGCGGCCGUGUGAACGCGCCGUGGACUUCAUGGGAGUGAGAAUGCAGACAUGAGUAGCGAGAGACGGGUGAGGAUCCCGUCCGCUGGAUGACCAAGGGUUCCGGGGCCACGUUCGUCGUCCCCGGGUGAGUCGGGUCCUAAGGCGAGGCCGACAGGCGUAGUCGAAUGGAUGAACGGGUGGAUAUUCCCGUACCGGCAGCGAACCGUCCGAACUGAACGGAUGAGUACUAACCUCCGGUCGCGUGGCGUCGUUCCCUUCGGGGUUCGGGGCGCGCGAUUGUUGGGAAUGUAGUCCUGGUAGGUUAGCGCACAGGGGUGACACGGAAUGGGAGCCGGCCGCGGAGGUGGUUUUCCGUGGUCAAGCACGCAGCCCGUCCCAUAGGCAAAUCCGUGGGACAUGCAGGGUGAGGUGCGAUGAUGGGCGCCUUUCAUGGCGCGAUAUCCGGUGGUCCAGGCCGUCGAGAAAAGCCUCGGCGCGAGGGGCGUUGCCGCCCGUACCCCAAACCGACACUGGUGGUCAGGUAGAGAAUACCAAGGCGAUCGAGCGAAUCCUGGUCAAGGAACUCGGCAAAUCACUCCCGUGCCUUCGGUAUAAGGGAGACCCCUGAUGGUGAUGGAACUUGCUUCCGGAGCUUUCGGGGGUGGCACAGACCAGGGGGUAGCGACUGUUUACCAAAAACACAGGUGCAUGCGAAGGCGAAAGCCGCUGUAUAUGCACUGACGCCUGCCCGGUGCCGGAAGGUUAAGAGGAUCCGUCAGCCCUUUGGGUGAAGCGGUGAAUUCAAGCCCCGGUAAACGGCGGUGGUAACUAUAACCAUCCUAAGGUAGCGAAAUUCCUUGUCGGGUAAGUUCCGACCUGCACGAAUGGCGUAAUGAUGGCCAGGCUGUCUCCACCCGAGACUCAGUGAAAUUGAACUCGCUGUGAAGAUGCAGUGUACCCGCGGCAAGACGGAAAGACCCCGUGAACCUUUACUAUAGCUUGACACUGAACAUUGAGCCUUGAUGUGUAGGAUAGGUGGGAGGCUUUGAAGUGUGGACGCCAGUCUGCAUGGAGCCGACCUUGAAAUACCACCCUUUAAUGUUUGAUGUUCUAACGUUGACCCGUAAUCCGGGUUGCGGACAGUGUCUGGUGGGUAGUUUGACUGGGGCGGUCUCCUCCUAAAGAGUAACGGAGGAGCACGAAGGUUGGCUAAUCCUGGUCGGACAUCAGGAGGUUAGUGCAAUGGCAUAAGCCAGCUUGACUGCGAGCGUGACGGCGCGAGCAGGUGCGAAAGCAGGUCAUAGUGAUCCGGUGGUUCUGAAUGGAAGGGCCAUCGCUCAACGGAUAAAAGGUACUCCGGGGAUAACAGGCUGAUACCGCCCAAGAGUUCAUAUCGACGGCGGUGUUUGGCACCUCGAUGUCGGCUCAUCACAUCCUGGGGCUGAAGUAGGUCCCAAGGGUAUGGCUGUUCGCCAUUUAAAGUGGUACGCGAGCUGGGUUUAGAACGUCGUGAGACAGUUCGGUCCCUAUCUGCCGUGGGCGCUGGAGAACUGAGGGGGGCUGCUCCUAGUACGAGAGGACCGGAGUGGACGCAUCACUGGUGUUCGGGUUGUCAUGCCAAUGGCACUGCCCGGUAGCUAAAUGCGGAAGAGAUAAGUGCUGAAAGCAUCUAAGCACGAAACUUGCCCCGAGAUGAGUUCUCCCUGACUCCUUGA